rnacentral:rRNA from 1 species
AUUGAACGCUGGCGGCAUGCCUUACACAUGCAAGUCGAACGGUAACAGGUCUUCGGAUGCUGACGAGUGGCGAACGGGUGAGUAAUACAUCGGAACGUGCCUAGUAGUGGGGGAUAACUACUCGAAAGAGUGGCUAAUACCGCAUGAGAUCUACGGAUGAAAGCAGGGGAUCGCAAGACCUUGUGCUACUAGAGCGGCCGAUGGCAGAUUAGGUAGUUGGUGGGAUAAAAGCUUACCAAGCCGACGAUCUGUAGCUGGUCUGAGAGGACGAUCAGCCACACGGGGACGGAGACACGGCCCAGACUCCUACGGGAGGCAGCAGUGGGGAAUUUUGGACAAUGGGCGAAAGCCUGAUCCAGCAAUGCCGCGUGCAGGAUGAAGGCCUUCGGGUUGUAAACUGCUUUUGUACGGAACGAAAAGCCCUGGGUUAAUACCCUGGGGUCAUGACGGUACCGUAAGAAUAAGCACCGGCUAACUACGUGCCAGCCGCCGCCGUAA